AAAUUGCAGCGAAUAUUUCCACUCAGUCUUUUUGAUUCAAUGGAGCACUAAAUGAUUUAUUUGCCUUGUGAUGCAACGGUUUGUGGUCCCGUUCUAUAUCGAUGGAUGUAUUCAUUUGAAAGGUUCCUAAACAAAAUAAAGAAGACUAUCAAAAAAAUAUAUCUAGAGUGAUGGCAAAAAAAAAGAGACAAUAUUCGGUGAAUAUAUGAUAAAGAAGUUGUUGCAGCACAGUUGCAUGUUCUUAUUAAUUAUGAUGAGGUUAAGCCUUUUCUGAAAUGUCAGGUACAAGAUUGAACAGGGUAAGACAACCUCACAGUAAAAGAGAAAAUUAAGUAAAAGAAGGACACGUACAGUAGAGCGACAAACAGUUAAACUGCAUGCUAUAAUCCCACCGUGAGCCCUACAAUCUCGUAUUGGUCCACUUCAUGUCAAUGGAUAUUCAAUGCAUCAACAUAAUCUUGAAGUGCAUCAAUCUCUAUCAAAUAACAAUAAGUUUCGACCUCCCAUAAUCCCAAUACGAUCCCUCUAUAAUACUUUGAAAGUCUAAAGCCUAAUCUAGAGUAUAAUAUGAGACUCUAGGAGUAGUAACACUGUUUUAAGGUCAAUUAUAAUGUAUAUAAGUCAUUUAGGAAUUUUUAGAAU